CUGUGUUAUUGAUUCCUGAGGCCACAACUCUGAAUAUUUCGGAGUUGUUGGUUAGUUCGCGGGCGGGCGGCCCCGAGCUGCUCAGUUCUGGCCUUCACCUUGUACAGUUUGGACUCCUCGCCUGUGGUUGGACAGAUUUUUUUUGCACUCUGAAGUUUGGUGAUGUCUAGACAGCAGCUUAUUAUGUUGGUGGCGGGGGUAAUUUUGGCCCAGUACAUAUACAUGUUAAUCGGAUUUUACUGGAAGGGACAAGCUAAAAUAGCGCUUAAACCUAACUAUGCUCACAGUAUUUUGCUGAUUGCAGCUGAAAGUACUUUAAACUUUUACUUGACUCUCAACAAAGAUCCAGAGACCAUGUUGAGAAAAAUGAGACUUUCUGCUGCAAAAAUACAACAGGGAUCCUCUGAAAACUCAAAAUCUGCAGACUUGUUAUUAGAAAAGGCGUUUAAGUCGCUGGGAAAGAGUACCCAGAGAGCUAAAGAUUUGGUAGAUUUUCUAAGUGUUUCAGGACGCGGUCUCCUGGAAUUUGAUAUGUUUGAUGAUAUUGAAGAAAAUUGAAUUGCUACAAAGGCACAACCUCCAUUUUUAAUAAUGUUAAUAAAGAGUUUUUAAUUUCG